GUCCAUGCCGUAAACGUUGGGAACUAGGUGUGGGUCUCAUUCCACGAGGUCCGUGCCGCAGCUAACGCAUUAAGUUCCCCGCCUGGGGAGUACGGCCGCAAGGCUAAAACUCAAAGGAAUUGACGGGGGCCCGCACAAGCGGCGGAGCAUGUGGAUUAAUUCGAUGCAACGCGAAGAACCUUACCAAGGCUUGACAUAUACCGGAAACAUCCAGAGAUGGGUGCCCCGCAAGGUCGGUAUACAGGUGGUGCAUGGUUGUCGU
rnacentral:rRNA from 1 species